rnacentral:rRNA from 1 species
AUUGAACGCUGGCGGCAUGCCUUACACAUGCAAGUCGAACGGCAGCACGGGUGCUUGCACCUGGUGGCGAGUGGCGAACGGGUGAGUAAUACAUCGGAACAUGUCCUGUAGUGGGGGAUAGCCCGGCGAAAGCCGGAUUAAUACCGCAUACGAUCUACGGAUGACAGCGGGGGACCUUCGGGCCUCGCGCUAUAGGGUUGGCCGAUGGCUGAUUAGCUAGUUGGUGGGGUAAAGGCCUACCAAGGCGACGAUCAGUAGCUGGUCUGAGAGGACGACCAGCCACACUGGGACUGAGACACGGCCCAGACUCCUACGGGAGGCAGCAGUGGGGAAUUUUGGACAAUGGGCGAAAGCCUGAUCCAGAAAUGCCGCGUGUGUGAAGAAGGCCUUCGGGUUGUAAAGCACUUUUGUCCGGAAAGAAAUCCUUGGCUCUAAUACAGUCGGGGGAUGACGGUACCGGAAGAAUAAGCACCGGCUAACUACGUG